GCUUAUCUCAGGGCGGGGUGAAAGUCCCCACCGGCGGUAAACAUCAGUCCAUUUUUUGAGUGGCAUGGUGAAGCCCGCGAGCGCUCCGUUUGUGGUUAUCUUAAUGAUAAAGCGGAGGUCAGCAGAUCCAGUGUAAUUCUGGAGCCGACGGUGAUAGUCCGGAUGGGAGAGAAUAACG
rnacentral:ncRNA from 2 species